AUGGUUUAGCAUAGACGAGUUUGAUUCAGGGUUUGAUUUUGCCUCAGAGGGUUGGUCAGCAACCUAUUAGGGGUUGUGGUCCAAUACGAGGUGGUAAUGGUAGUGUUCAUGGUCAGAGCGCACCGAACAGAGGUGAAAAACAGACUGAGGGCUUUGGUUUAUGCAACGAGGCAUCAUGAGGAUAGAUAUGUGAGGGGUGUGAUUGUCAGUACGUUCAUUAUUCAUUCACUGCAUUGCUUUCCUUUAAUUGGUUGUGGAUCUAUGCAUUCUUAUAUAUUUAGUGAUGUUGUGGGAAAUUUGGGAAUUGUGGCUGAGGACACUAGUAGUAAA
rnacentral:lncRNA from 1 species